AUGGGCCCAAAGCCCAACCCACAACUCAUUAACUAAAGCUCAUUUCAUCCCAAACCAAGGAAACACGUUCCUGGAAAGGGAGAGCAAGGAAGAGGUUCCAAACCCUUGGGCAUAAAUUCAAACCCACAUAACUUUUGAUCUAGACCUCCGAUCGCCGCACUAUUUACGGCCACGCAUCCGCAGUGACGAGCUCUACAAAGCCCGGUACCUUUUAAGUUAUUGCCCUUAGCAAGCAUGGAGAAGCUGCAAAAGUCAUUUUGGAGGAACAAUUGUGUGCUGUGCUGCUGAAAUUGGACAAAGAAUUAAGCUAUUACAAGAAGAUAGGAAAGUGCUUCUGAAAAUGAGGAGUUGAAGUCUCAAAUUGAAGCAGCUUGUACGUUGGUGGAGAAAUUGGUGCUGGAGAAUGCGGAACUUGUUGAGAAGAUUAACAUGUUGUAUGUUGAGCUGGAUCGACACAAUGUAGAAGUUGGACUUUCUGGAGGAGUUGGACCUGAUUCAAUUAAUGUGUUUCCUCAUUUUGAUGGGGUGGCUUCUGAUAUAACCAAAUCUGCAGAGGUUAAGUCUGUAUUAGCUCAGGAGUCAGGUUCAUUGCAAGAGGCAUCAGUGAGGAAUGAUCGUGAUUAUCAACGGCGAGCAAGCUGUUGGGUUAACUCCAAACUCAUCAUCGCUAUCUGAUGACACCGUAGAAAUUGUGCAGAUCCCAUUGGAUGACAAUGAACUACUUUGUUCUGUUUAACUAAUGAUCUGUAUUUCCAGCAAUUAGAACAUAUGCUCAAGGUGGACGCAAAGGUUAUGAUAUCUUUAGCAGCAAAAAACAAGGGAGUGCAGAUUUCAGGAAAGCUUGGGCAAAGGAGAUGGAUGAAGAUAACACUCACUUCCCGUGGCUUUUAUAUUCAAAUCUUUCUGCUUCAUGUGCAUUGGCCUUGAAUAGCUAUGCUAUUUCACUCGAUAACAGUCAGGAGAUGUCAAUAUCAACUUUCAAUGUGGAGCUUGAUGCUGCUAAUGCAACUUAA